ACAUUAAAACAGAGAGAACCCCAAUAUCAUGCCGACUGAAACUACCCUAUUUGGGAAUUUACAUAAUCUCUAUCUUCUGAUUUCUAUUAAUAGGACAGUCAGAAAUCAACCCAACAACCAACACUUAGUUUUGGUUUGGUGAUGUAGAACUUCAGUAUGGGAAACUUCAUUUUGGUUUUUAGCCUGCUCUGUUGGGGCCUAGCACAGGAGCUUGGUCCAAAACAAGGGCCCCUAUAAUUUUUACUGAACAGUUUAGAAUCUAGAACAAUGCCUUGCACUCACAUUUAGUGAGUAAAUAUUGAAUAGAUGAAUACAUCAGUGAAGCAUAACUUUGGGUAACAUUAUCAGAUAUUAAUUAAAGCAUCACACCAUAUGACACUAAUUUUGAGCAUAAUCAAGGAGGGAAAGGUAGCAAAACUGAGCACUUGGACAGUCUAAUAGUUGGAUAUGAAACAGAGAAGAAGGAGACUUCCAAAAAGUCUGCUAAAGGGUGUU
rnacentral:lncRNA from 1 species